GAUUUGCGCAUGGGGGAACCCUGNCGCACAACGCCGCGUGGAGGAUGAAGUCUCUUGGGACGUAAACUCCUUUCGAUCGGGAAGAUUAUGACGGUACCGAUAGAAGAAGCCCCGGCUAACUUCGUGCCAGCAGCCGCGGUAAUACGAGGGGGGCAAGCGUUGUUCGGAAUUAUUGGGCGUAAAGGGUGCGUAGGCGGUUUGGUAAGUCUUGUGUGAAAUCUUCGGGCUCAACUCGAAGUCUGCACGAGAAACUGCCGGGCUUGAGUGUGGGAGAGGUGAGUGGAAUUUCCGGUGUAGCGGUGAAAUGCGUAGAUAUCGGAAGGAACACCUGUGGCGAAAGCGGCUCACUGGACCAUAACUGACGCUGAGGCACGAAAGCUAGGGGAGCAAACAGGAUUAGAUACCCUGGUAGUCCUAGCCCUAAACCAUGGAUGCUUGGUGUAGCCGGUACCCAAUCCGGCUGUGCCGAAGCUAACGCGAUAAGCAUCCCGCCUGGGGAGUACGGUCGCAAGGCUGAAACUCAAAAAAAUUGACGGA
rnacentral:rRNA from 1 species